rnacentral:rRNA from 1 species
AGGGUGCGAGCGUUAAUCGGAAUUACUGGGCGUAAAGCGAGUGUAGGUGGCUCAUUAAGUCACAUGUGAAAUCCCCGGGCUUAACCUGGGAACUGCAUGUGAUACUGGUGGUGCUAGAAUAUGUGAGAGGGAAGUAGAAUUCCAGGUGUAGCGGUGAAAUGCGUAGAGAUCUGGAGGAAUACCGAUGGCGAAGGCAGCUUCCUGGCAUAAUAUUGACACUGAGAUUCGAAAGCGUGGGUAGCAAACAGGAUUAGAUACCCUGGUAGUCAAGGGCG